CUUCACAAAAGUGUCAACGGUCCAUAAAGCAUGGGACAGAAAUAAACAUAAACUUGCAAGUUCGAUUGCACCCUACUAAUUACACGACCAAUCAAGCAUAUCACUGUCGGAUCCUGCAUCUUUUGAGAGUUCCAUCUGAUAAAACAAAGACAGUAGUGUAAGAAGAAAAUGUUUAUAAUCAAAUACAUGCGAAAGUUCACGAGAAACAAAAAUACAUGCAAAAGUUCAUGAGAAGCAAAGAUACAGACCAUUUGAAUUGUUCAUACCCUCUCUGUUUUAGAAUUGGGAAAAGCUUCAACACUGUCCACAACCACGUAUUCCUCAUCACUCAGCAUUUGUACACCUGCCAAAUUCAUCAAACACAUUAGACUGAAUUGACGAAGAAGAACUACAUAUAAAGAACAAACUAGUUACCAUCCGUUUCAGAUAAACUUGCAUUGCUCUCAUUGCCUUUCUCCAAAGAGGAGGGUUCAACAGCCUUUAAUGAUGAAUCAUCGUCAUC
rnacentral:lncRNA from 1 species